UAGAGCCUAUUGCUUUUGCCCUUGGUUA
rnacentral:piRNA from 1 species